CAGGGGUGCUAGCGUUGUUCGGAAUUACUGGGCGUAAAGGGCGCGUAGGCGGUUUAGCAAGUCAGAUGUGAAAGCCCGGGGCUUAACUCCGGAAGUGCAUUUGAAACUGCUAGGCUAGAGUGCAGUAGAGGUUAUUGGAAUUCCCAGUGUAGAGGUGAAAUUCGUAGAUAUUGGGAGGAACACCAGUGGCGAAGGCGGAUAACUGGGCUGUAACUGACGCUGAGGCGCGAAAGCGUGGGGAUCAAACAGGAUUAGAUACCCUGGUAGUCCACGCCGUAAACGAUGGAUACUCGCUGUGGCUGGUAUUGACCCCGGCCGUAGCCAAGUUAACACGAUAAGUAUCCCGCCUGGGAAGUACGGUCGCAAGAUUA
rnacentral:rRNA from 1 species